AAAGAGUGUUGUCAAGAUGAAUACUAAAUCCCACUGCGUGGUUUGACUACAAUGCUAGGAUUACCAGAUAUCUGAAGAGGCAAAGGAGGAAACAGACAAUUGAAAAAGAGGACAAAUAAGAGAAGGAAGACAAACUUAACUAUACAGCUCUUGGCAUCCGUGACAAAAUUAGAGCAAAAAAAUGUACAUGGGCCUACCAUCCCUGUCCUAUUGUCCCCAUUUAUUUGUACUCAUUUCCUGUGUUCAUGCCCAUGUUUAUACUUAUACCUAUUAUCUUGUACAUGUUUAACAAACUAAAUAAAUAAAUAAAAUAUA